CAUCCCUAGCAUCACGUCUGUCAUAUUGCGUUUCGCAUGGAAAUAUCUUGAAAUAAACAACAAACCAACAGAGGAAUGGCAUUGCAACCCGGAUUGUGCUGACAAAAAACACAUGCAACAGAAUAAAAGACCCUGUGCAUCGUGAAACAACACAACGACGAGAAACAGAAGAAAAGCAGUGUUCAUCCAUAUAAUCGCGUUGCUUGAUGGGCCUUUUCGCUAAGAUAGGAUUCGGCCAACACCACAGACUCUCUUCUCUCAACCCAUCGUAUAGACGCAUAUGCGCAGCGACUUUGCAAUACUCGGGCGGCAGCUCGCACGCACCGUAAUAGGGCUGCCAAUAGGGAUCCCGUGAUCGCAUAUCAGGCUCAUCUCCUCCGCACAACUGUCUCCGGCCACUCCUUCCGGUCAACCAGUGUCCAAACUGCAUAUGCUUCUUGGACUAGUAGGGGUCCUCUGUGCGCAUUUAAAUCCUGCCACUUGUUGCUGCUUAAUUCAUGAUACGCGACAAUCCGGUAUCAAAUGCAUUAUUCCUUCCUGUAUUUCUGGAUAUAGAACAAGGUCGGCCAAUUUUCCUGUGAAGAUAUUCAGAUUUCCACCGAAUCCAUUGUACUUCAAUAAAUGGGUUGAGGUUUGUGGCUUAGAUAAAAAUUUGGUGAAGAGAACUGCACGAAUUUGUGAACGUCAUUUCAAAGCCGAGGAUAUAGGACGGGCUAAAUUGAAGUUUGGAGCAAUACCAACAUUGAAUUUGUCUGAUAAUACUCCAUUGAAUC
rnacentral:sRNA from 15 species